rnacentral:tRNA from 1 species
UCCCUGGCGGUCCAGUGGCUAGGACUCUGUACUCCCAAUCCAAGGUCCCAGGUUCGAUCCCUGGUCAGGGAA